rnacentral:misc_RNA from 1 species
AGUCGUAACAAGGUUUCCGUAGGUGAACCUGCGGAAGGAUCAUUACCAAUCCAAAGAUUACAUCUUUUCCUGUGAACUUUUAAAAUUGUUCCAAUAUUUGGGUGGCUCUGAAAAAUAGAAAUAUUUUUUAUCCACCCAAAUAUUAUGAUUAACAACUCCAUUUUAAAAAUAUAUAAAUCAAUUUUAAAUUUGUUUUAAAGAAAUUUUAAAAUUCCUUUAAUACAAAAUUAAAUUUAAAAAAAAAAUUACAACUUUUAGCGGUGGAUCUCUUGGCUCAU